AGCGAACGCUGGCGGCAGGCCUAACACAUGCAAGUCGAACGAACUCUUCGGAGUUAGUGGCGGACGGGUGAGUAACACGUGGGAACGUGCCUUUUGGUUCGGAAUAACUCAGGGAAACUUGUGCUAAUACCGAAUGUGCCCUUCGGGGGAAAGAUUUAUCGCCAUUAGAGCGGCCCGCGUCUGAUUAGCUAGUUGGUGAGGUAACGGCUCACCAAGGCGACGAUCAGUAGCUGGUCUGAUAGGAUGACCAGCCACACUGGGACUGAGACACGGCCCAGAAUCCUACGGGAAGCAGCAGUAGGGAAUCUUGCGCAAUGGGCGAAAGCCUGACGCAGCCAUGCCGCGUGAAUGAUGAAGGUCUUAGGAUUGUAAAAUUCUUUCACCGGGGACGAUAAUGACGGUACCCGGAGAAGAAGCCCCGGCUAACUUCGUG
rnacentral:rRNA from 1 species